UACGUAGGGGGCGAGCGUUAUCCGGAAUUACUGGGCGUAAAGCGUGCGUAGGUGGUUGUUUAAGUCUGUCGUGAAAGCCCUGGGCUCAACCUGGGAAUUGCGAUGGAAACUGGGCGACUAGAGUGUGGCAGAGGGUAGUGGAUUUCCUGGUGUAGCAGUGAAAUGCGUAGAGAUCAGGAGGAACAUCCGUGGCGAAGGCGACUGCCUGGGCCGACACUGACACUGAGGCACGAAAGCGUGGGGAGCAAACAGGAUUAGAUACCCUGGUAGUCCACGCCCUAAACGAUGCGAACUGGAUGUUGGGUGCAAUUUGGCACGCAGUAUCGAAGCUAACGCGUUAAGUUCGCCGCCUGGGGAGUACGGUCGCAAGACUGAA
rnacentral:rRNA from 1 species